UACUUCAUUCUUAUAAGUUAAUUUAUUUCAUUUAAGUAGGAGAGUGCAAUCAUGAUUAGUAAUACUAGUGUCUCUAUGCGCUGCUAUAUAUUAAUUAAUUCAUGAAUGAUAAGUGAGUGAACCGAGAAUUUCAUUUAGCAGUAUUUUAGGUUAGACGUAUUCCAACACAUAAUGAAAGCUUUUCGUUUGAAAUCCAAAUAAAUUUGUUUAAAAUACAAGUAUCGAGAGGUAUGUUUGCCCAAUCACUGUAUAUAGAAUUGAGCGUAUUGGCACAAUUAGCUAGUUCUUCUGCUAGUUCGAGGCGCAAUCGUACCACUUUCAUGGACUGAAAUGGAAACAAUUUACAAAAUUCGCUUAGGAACGUCGGAUCCCAGCAAUACUUUUGAUGCAGCUCACACACAUCCCAUAAUCUCUUAUUGUGCGUAAAUAAGUAGACAUGCGUUUGUCCAAAAGCUAGUUCUUCACAGCCGUAUCGCCAUAUGGUGGUCCUCGUAUUUGAACAAUUCCAUAAUUUAACAACGGUUCGUAAUGAUAAAAAUUUCCAGGGACGGCAUUAAUAAUGUCGCCUAAAAAUGUCGAGCCCGAUCUCCACGUUGUU